CGUCCUGUAGACCCACAUACACAAACGUGAGCCUCGGGGGAAAACACCUGAAUGCCACGAUGGGAUGUGAGCAAUAACAGUAAGGAUAACAAAAAUGCAAUUUGGGGAUUCGGAGGAUUUAGUGGCUGGAGAAUGGGCUGAGAUGCAUAAAAAGAAGCAUGGCUCUGUAUUGCAUCUCAGCACCGCUUUGUUGAAUAAUGAGGUUUGAAAGGCUGCGAGAGGCACUCACCGGAGCACUGAUGUUCAUUAAGAUAAAAUCAAAGACAGCCUCCUGCUUUCGGUUUUCCAGAAGGACUCCUUCCAUAGCAAGGGAUUAAGGCUGCCGGCUGAAAGGUUAUUGGAUGUCACAGCAACAGAGACUCAUUUGUCUCCAUUUAAAUACUUAAUGAUCU
ensembl:lncRNA